rnacentral:rRNA from 1 species
GACGAACGCUGGCGGCGUGCCUAAUACAUGCAAGUCGAACGCAGUGGGGACGGGUGAGUAACACGUGGGUUACCUGACAUCAGAGGGGAUAACACUUGGAAACAGGUGCUAAACCGCUACUGAUGGAUGGACCCGCGGUGAAUUAGCUAGUUGGUGAGGUAACGGCUCACCAAGGCCACGAUGCAUAGCCGGCCUGAGAGGGUGAUCGGCCACACUGGGACUGAGACACGGCCCAGACUCCUACGGGAGGCAGCAGUAGGGAAUCUUGCGCAAUGGACGAAAGUCUGACCGAGCAACGCCGCGUGAGUGAAGAAGGUUUUAGGAUUGUAAAGCUCUGUUGUUAGAGAAGCGGUAUCUAACCAGAAAGCCACGGCUAACUACGUGCCAGCAGCCGCGGUAAUAC